rnacentral:lncRNA from 1 species
AGAGAGGGGGAGAUGCGAAGAUUGAAAGGGAUCUUUGCAAACACAAUCACGUUCUUAAAUGGAAAUGUGGGGCUUUAAACAAAUCUUACAUCUCUCCUGUUCCAGUCGUCUAAAACUCCGCAAUCAGGCACACGUUCGACUCCAUCUAAAACCACAGCUUUUUUUAGAAGAUUUUUUUGGCUUUUGCGAGGAAAGUGCCGGAGAAUUCAGGCGUCAAACCAAACGGCUUCUCUGUGGACUAAUGGAGCUGAAAGCUGAUGAUGAUGAUGAUCGAGAAAAUAUCAUGCAAACAUCAUUUGCCAUCAGUGAAAGCAGAUCUAGAGAUAAGAGGCUCAAAGGGGACUGAGCAACUCGCUUUCGACACAUCUGAGGAGUCCACUGAAAGAGCUAAUAACGGGAUCAAGGGUAUGCAUUUCCACCAUAUGAUAUCAAGAAAGCGCUUCCCCAACAGAUGUUUUGAGAUCAACACAAUAUACUUGCGAUGAACUUCAAUGUUUGUGUGUUUUUGAGGGUACAUCUAUAGUAUGACUCUGAAACAGUCAGUACAUUUCCAUCGACAACAAUGUUUUUGAUGCCAUGUGUUGUGAUGCCAUGAUUCAUUUAACACUUUGAUUAAGAAUUCAUUACGUAAACAGGGAUUUUUCAUUACCUUAAUCCAGUUCAGUUCAUACUUAGUUAAGUAAUCACGAGUCUAAUGGGAUGUUGAGUAUAGACCCUUUUCACAUUUACAGGUUUCUUAGUAGCGGAAGUCAUCAAAGUUGAGAGAACUUAGACCGCAAUGAAUGGGAGAAUACGACAAUUUUUUUU